rnacentral:rRNA from 1 species
AACGCGAAGAACCUUACCAAGGUUUGACAUGCAGGGAAAAGCCGUAGAGAUACGGUGUCCGUAAGGGUCCUGCACAGGUGGUGCAUGGCUGUCGUCAGCUCGUGUCGUGAGAUGUUGGGUUAAGUCCCGCAACGAGCGCAACCCUCGUCCUAUGUUGCCAGCGGGUAAUGCCGGGGACUCAUAGGAGACUGCCGGGGUCAACUCGGAGGAAGGUGGGGAUGACGUCAAGUCCUCAUGCCCCUUAUGUCUUGGGCUGCAAACAUGCUACAAUGGCCGGUACAAAGGGUUGCAAGACCGCAAGGUGGAGCGAAUCCCAAAAAGCCGGUCUCAGUUCGGAUUGGGGUCUGCAACUCGACCCCAUGAAGUCGGAGUCGCUAGUAAUCGCGAAUCAGCAACGUCGCGGUGAAUACGUUCCCGGGCCUUGUA